GACGAACGCUGGCGGCGUGCUUAACACAUGCAAGUCGAACGGAAAGGCCCUGCUUUUGUGGGGUGCUCGAGUGGCGAACGGGUGAGUAACACGUGAGUAACCUGCCCUUGACUUUGGGAUAACUUCAGGAAACUGGGGCUAAUACCGGAUAGGAGCUCCUGCUGCAUGGUGGGGGUUGGAAAGUUUCGGCGGUUGGGGAUGGACUCGCGGCUUAUCAGCUUGUUGGUGGGGUAGUGGCUUACCAAGGCUUUGACGGGUAGCCGGCCUGAGAGGGUGACCGGCCACAUUGGGACGGAGAUACGGCCCAGACUCCUCCGGGGGGCAGGCGUGGGGAAUUUUGCACAAGGGGCGGAACCCUGUUGCAGCAACGCCGCGGGCGGGAUGACGGCCUUCGGUUUGUAAACCCCUUUCCCCUGGAACGAGGCGUGGGGGGCGGUAAUGGGAAAAGAAGCCCCGGCUACCUCCGU
rnacentral:rRNA from 1 species